GCUUCCAUUUGGCUCAUUGUGGCACCACAAUGGCAAUCCAUUAACGACAUUCCAUCUGAAAUGAUUCCCCAUUAUGCUUAUGAUAUAAUGACGCCGCCCCCCAGACCAAGGAAAUCUCUCCGCAUUUCACCUUGAUGUCGACGUCGAUGUGGCACUGUCGAUGUGGCACUGUCGAUGUGGCACAGAGCCGCAUGUUCAUAACGUUGUCGCACAAUUAAAUUCCAUCCGCAAAAGCUUUCAACUGCACUUUGGACCACAAAUUAUGGCCAGCCCCGCACGGCUUUGCUCCCCCGAGCAUUGAGGUCCUUCUAUGGCAGAACAAAUGGUCAAAAGCGGCUGCCAAAUGUCGGCCUACAAACACACACACACUCACACAGACAGUCGUCUAUGUAUAGGCAGGCGGACAUACAAAAGGCCGAGACAUUCGGGCCAAAUUUAACUGCUGUGCAGUCGCGCAUGAGGAUCCGCUGGCAAUCUCUUACCGACUUUCCCUGCCCCUGGCCCAGGCCCAGGUCCCCCCCCAGUCAAUUAUGGUCUAUGGACAUUAAAUGUCAUUACGCAGCAACAAUCAAAAAGAGACACAGGAUCCGCAGCAGGGGCAGGGGCAGGAGCUGGGGAUGGGGAUGGCGAAGCCGAACAGGAAGUAGACAACGAGCCAAGCAAAGCAUGAAAUUAAAAUGCGCCUAAGAUGUAUUCCUGUCUGUCAUGGGCCGCCCUGCGAGUCCUGCCAAAGGAGUGGCUGCUUCUGGUUGUGCUUCUGCCUGUCGUUCUGCUUAUAAUUUCAUUUUUCACACCCAACUCUCAUUGACAAAAGUGUGAAGCGCAGGACACGGGGAGACGGACGUUCUUGGCUUCCUGCCUUUGCCAUACACUUGCCAACAAAAACUGCUGCAGGAGCGAAAGGAGGCAUAGCCGAUGGUUACAUACUCCCGGAUAAGCGGCCCUGGGCUUUAAACUUCACGUUCCGGGUCCUGCGCCGCUCUUGUAACUAUCCCAUUUCAAAUCAGUUGACGCACGCGCCCCCUUUUUGAACCGUGGACCCCCUAGGCGGCCUUACCCAUUUGGGUGCUGCCGGACCGAUACUGCAUCCACGAUCGCGUGCAUCGCGCCAGCAGCUGGUUCACCUUCACUUUUUACGAGGUACGACGUACGUGCUUCGCAGGGGCUUACAUUACCGACAUCGUCUUCCGUCUGCACCAUGCUUUAACUCUUACCCGAUCAACCCCCUCCGGUGGCCAGGAAUACCUCUUGCGUGCUCGCGGAUAUGCCCAACAUCGUUUACCAGCUUCACCGUUCUGGUCUUCCGGUUCAUAUGAGCGAGUGUGCGAUCGAUGACGACUGACCACUCCCGGCGCCUGACCGGCUGACAUCUUUGGCCAUCUGUGGCCUUUGACUCGCUCGCCAUCGGCACAUCCUCCGCGGGUGAUUCCGUUUUUCUUGGCUAGUCCAAGGAAAGUGUUCCUGGCUAGACUGUGGCAGCCACUGGCUGUCCUGCUGCGGGCCGAUGUGGCGACAAUGUGGCGUCCAAUUUGCUGCAGCAAGGACCAGUGAUCGCCGGCGGAAUUGUUGGUUCACGCCCAUUCAUAUGCAGCCGAAUCAAACGAUGGGCUUCGGCUUUGAGACGCAUUACUCACACACAUUCAUACCCUUCGCUUUGCGACAAACCGAGUCGUGUCCGCCAGACGCAGUACUAUGAAAGUAUCCAAGCCAGACAGAAGCGAAUACCAGCCGGACGGAAGCGCAGCAUCGUCAUCCUUUGCCCUUGCCAUCGACAGCGUGGACUUUGACUAUGGCAACCAAGGGAGGGAGAACGCGGGGCUACUAGACUCUAGGUGGAUAUCGUUGUUGUAAGGUGUAAGGAUAGACGCGUCCAUAUAUAGUACAGAAAAAACCAUUAUUCUACUGAUGUGCAAAUCCAAAUUUUCGGAAGGCCAUAUCUCAGAAAAAUAAGGCCAGAUCAGUGCAGGACCAAGUCUCCCAGGAUCGUGAGAAUCCAGACUGUCGAACUGCAUCAAAA